rnacentral:rRNA from 1 species
AAUAGAUACCCCGGUAGUCCACGCCGUAAACGAUGAGUGCUAAGUGUUAGAGGGUUUCCGCCCUUUAGUGCUGCAGCAAACGCAUUAAGCACUCCGCCUGGGGAGUACGGCCGCAAGGCUGAAACUCAAAGGAAUUGACGGGGACCCGCACAAGCGGUGGAGUAUGUGGUUUAAUUCGAAGCAACGCGAAGAACCUUACCAGGUCUUGACAUCCUCUGACCAUCCUAGAGAUAGGACCUUCCCCUUCGGAGGACAGAGUGACAGGUGGUGCAUGGUUGUCGUCAGCUCGUGUCGUGAGAUGUUGGGUUAAGUCCCGCAACGAGCGCAACCCUUGUCCUUAGUUGCCAGCAUUCAGUUGGGCACUCUAAGGAGACUGCCGGUGACAAACCGGAGGAAGGUGGGGAUGACGUCAAAUCAUCAUGCCCCUUAUGACCUGGGCUACACACGUGCUACAAUGGAUGGUACAAAGGGCUGCGAAGCCGCGAGGUGGAGCCAAUCCCAUAAAAACCAUUCUCAGUUCGGAUUGCAGG